ACGCUCGACACCUACUGGAGGCAGCAGUGGGGAAUAUUGCACAAUGGGGGAAACCCUGAUGCAGCGACGCCGCGUGGAGGAAGAAGGUCUUCGGAUUGUAAACUCCUGUUGUUGGGGAAAAAGAGGAUGGUACCCAACAAGGAAGUGACGGCUAACUACGUGCCACAGCCGCGGUAAUCUGAGCGGGCUGGCAAGGC
rnacentral:rRNA from 1 species